rnacentral:rRNA from 1 species
AAAUUGAAGAGUUUGAUCAUGGCUCAGAUUGAACGCUGGCGGCAGGCCUAACACAUGCAAGUCGAACGGUAACAGGAAUCAGCUUGCUGAUUCGCUGACGAGUGGCGGACGGGUGAGUAAUGUCUGGGAAACUGCCUGAUGGAGGG